rnacentral:snRNA from 1 species
GUGCUGGUUUUGGCAGCACAUACACUAAAAAUUGAGCUGACAGAGAAGAUUAGCAUGGCCUCUGCCCAAGGAUGACACACAAGUCCGCAAAGCAGUCCAUUUUUUU